rnacentral:lncRNA from 1 species
GUAUGUAUAUUAAAAGUAAAGCCAUGCCCUCAGAAUAUGACUCAUCAUCAGGACAAGCAACAAAGACCCAUUGCAUAUCAUUCCUAUCUCCUGAUACAUCAGCCAAAGUUCAUCAUCCUUGCCUAAAAAUAUUUGUAACAUGUGCUAGCUAAAUUGGUUGAAGCAACUUCAGAUCUCACACUGGAAUCUCCAAUAAAUCUGAUGGUACCACAUACAGUACAAGCAGUUCUGCUCUCUGAGUUAUAUACUAUAACUCUCUAAAGACACUCAACAUUUUCCUACCAGUUGGCUGAGUAAAUAUCAAUUAUUAACUUCUCACAUUACUCAACUAUAAUACAUUUCUCAAUCAAGGGAAUCUCAUGAUUGUGCCUCUGUCAUUCAAGAAGUGUCCAUGUCCAGAACAAAUAUUUUGGACACUCUUAUACCAAAUUCUACAUUGAUAAGUUUUUCUUAUCUUUAAAAUUGAACGGGAUGCUAACUGGCUAUUUAUGCAAUAACUACUCAGACCCUUUAUAAAAAUUCAGUCCACUAGCAGAAGCAAAAUUCACUCAAGUAGCUGAACUAAUAGCUCAUACUUGGGCAAGUCAAUUUACAAAAAAAUUAUAUUCAUUGUGAGUACAUUUUUAACACAGUUCAUAGCUUCCAAAUACUAUGGAGACAAUGAGGUGUGCUAACUGUCUAACAUUUCUUAAUGCUCUCAUGUAUCUCUGUUAAAAAUGGACUCCAAAUACAUGAAAUAUUUGAUGUCAUUAUGUAGUGGGAAGGGGGAAGGGCCCUCCCGGAACAAAGGGAAGACAACAUGCAACAGCGGUACCUGUGUGCGCAUGCCCAGUUCCGUAACAAUGUAACAUAACCUGAUUCCAUGGGUGCAAGCCUACCUAUAACUGUCCACUCAGAAAUUACAGAAGAUUUGUUACCUUAUAAGGGGGACAAAGGGACCAAAGUGUAAAAGGAAAAAUAACAGAGGGUAUAUAAGACAGCAUCCUGCUGCGUUCGGGGCUCAGACUUUAGAUAUGAAUCCGCUGAACCAGUGCCGGCACAAAUAAACGCUGCUUCCUGGCAAAAAAAGCCUUGGUGUCCUGUCUCCCUGUACGUAAGUCCAGCAACAAUUAAGUUACUCAAAGAAAUUUGGUUAUAAAGACAAAGUUUCACAUUACAAAAGACUGCAGAAGCUAGGGCGGGAAAAUUAUUGUGGCGAUCAUGGUGUUAAACAUAAUUUCUAACUGGAGGCCUCAUGCAAACACCUCUUCUGAAACAUAAAAACAAAUACACGGACAAGCUCAAUAAGUCCAUCUUAGCUCUAGAAUACCAGAUCCUGAUUUCAUACGGAAUCACUAGGAACAAGUGAUUUGUUUGAUCCAUGAGGACAAGAUAUGUCAGAGCCAGGAAAGCUGCCUGCUACUCAAAUCCUCCAUAGUGAAGACAUCACAGCAGGGACAUAGUGGCUGCAAAAUUAACCCCACGCUUGUGGGGAAACUUUUCUAGGAUGAAAAAAAGGGCCAGUCAUGCCUAUCUUGGAACCAGCAAAAUCCCAUAAAAUCUGUAAAGAGGGGAUGAAAUGGAAUACUUUCCCUAGAAAAUACCUGGAUAUUUUCUAAAAGGAUUUUAAAAAUGGAAUUUUCCCCAUGGGAUAGGAGUACGAACUAGUAAUAGCAUUUGCAUUUUCUAUGUAUGUUGAAGCAAUCUUCUGUCAGAAGACCUCAGCACUCAUGAUCGUUAAAAAUCAGCUUGAUAUUGUAUUUACUACCUGUUCCAUUUCAAUGCACAUCUAUAUAGAGAAGCAAGUUUCUCUGGAACAGUUACAUAAAGUUUUGCCCUCACUUAGAGAUUUUACUAUUCUUAUCACCCCGCUAUCUUCUGAAAAAGUGGAAAGAACAAAUGGAAUGUUAAGACUGAAGUGAAUUACCAUGUCAGACAACCUUGAUCUAACAUGGCCUAAUGAAUUAUUAAUUAGCCUGAGCCCCUGUGGCUCUGUUUUCUUUCCCUUACAAAGUCAUAGGCUGCCUCACUAUGAACUGGUCACUGAUAGGCCCAGGUAACCAUACAUAUUUCAAUCUUUCACAAACUGAACUAGAUAAAUAAACCCAGCAUAGUCAGUCCUUUCAUCACAGGCACAGGUUGAUUUCCUUGCCUUUCAUUUAAUCAGCCUUUACAUAACCUUAAUCUGGGUGACUGGGGGCUUUGCAAAAAUCCCAGAGAAACACUGCCAUUGAGCUUGUGGAAAUCACCUUAUUAUUAAGUAUGAUUUCUUUUUUACUAGCAGAUAAAAUACUAGAAGUUAAUCCUUCAUUACAUGUUUACCAACUAGUAUGAAACCAUGCAUCCUUAAUUAACAAGCAUUGAAAAGUUACUCACAUUAUAUAUUAAACUAAGAUUCUCCAGCAAAUGGUCAGAAGCAGACGGUCCAGAGAAGAUAAGGCUGACCCAAGAUUCCUGAGACAAACAUAUAAUUAUGUAAAGUAGACAUCUCAAAUCAGUAUCAUUGGAAGAGAAUCUUUCUGGAUGUUUGGAACCACUGUUUGUCAUACUUUCCUUUGAAUUUUUUGGUUUUCAUCCUUUUACUCGUCUUUUCCCACUUUAAUACUAGAAUGUUCUGUGUUUCUGAUUUAUCUGAAUUUAUGCUCUUACCAAAAAUAUCACUUGCUAAGGUAUUAGCUUUACUUGAAGCGAUAACCAUCCUAAUGCUAUUGUUCAGCUCUACAAGGACAUUUCUAGUGCAACAAAUUUCAAGAAUUAUUGAGUAUAUUAUUUAAUGUCAACUCCUGAAAGCCAAAUAAUAACCACACUCCAAGUAGUACCACUAAAAUGAACUUCUAUCAAUAAAGUUUGUUAUAAAAUACUAGAAAAAUGUUAUAAUAGAGUUGGUACAAACAGACUGACAUAAAGAAUAUGUACGUCUCUGUCUGAUAUAUGAGUUGGUCCAACAUUAUACUGAACCACUUCAUUAUUAAUUGCCAUUGUGUUCCUUCUGUAGAUCAGAAAGUAAAAUCUCUAAAGCAGUUCCUGCGGCAGUGCAGUGGGUUAGGUAUCCAGCACUGGUGAAGCUGUGGUAUAGGUCACAGCUUUGGCUCAGAUUUAAUCCUGGCCCAGGAACUUCCUUAUGCUGCAGGUGUAGCCAAAAAAGUAAAAAACAAAACAAAACAAAAAUCUCUGAAGGAAUUCAAACACUUGAAAGGAUGAGUUAUUCCUAGAAAAUGACCUAAAAGUUCAAAACACCAGGAGUAGAAAACCCUUAGAGUGAUGUCAGGGAUUGAGGCCAUGCAUGUGCCCAGUAGCAUGUGCUUCCUCUUAUCCAGAGAUCUUAAAAGGGUUUUUAUUGUAUGGUCCCAUUCAUAUAACAUCUUAAAGAGAUAAAAGAACAAAUCAAGGUUUCCAAGGAGUUAGGGAGAUGAUAUGAUUACAAAGUUAUAGCACAGGAUGUUUUGAGGAACAGUGAAACUGUUCUGUAUCAUGAUUGUGGGAUAUUUUCAUGAAUCGAUACUAUGUGUGCAAUUCAAAAUUCACAGAUAUAACUGUACAUUAACAGUCUAUUUUUACUAUAUAAUUUUUUAAAAUAAAAAUGUAAAACAUUGGUAAAAUGAAAUAAUUGAUGUGGCCUCUAUUUUUAUUACUGGACUUGUCUAAUAUGUAUAUAAAAUUUUCUUUACUUAAAAUUUUCUUUACUUAAAACUCAAGCAUCAGAAUGCCAAUUGUAAUAGGCAAUCCACCAGAACUGGAAGAAGCAAGACACAGUUUCUCCCCUAGAACUUUGGGGACACAGUCCUGCUGAUGCCCGAAUACCAGCCCUGUGACAGUAAUUUCAACUUCUGGCCUCAGGACCAUGGCAGAAAACAUUUCUGUUGUUUUAAGCCACUGGGACUGUGAUAUAUUGUUCAGAGACAAUAGGAAACAAAUACAAACCAUGGUGAAAGUUUCCACUUGAAUUUCUGGAUCUAAGGUAACUAUGUUCUAAUGCUGCACACUCUGGCUGGAGCACUGUUUUCACUUCCACUGGAUAUAUUCUCAUGUGAGUACGAUAAAGAGUGUACACAGUAAUUGUACCCUCUCUCUCUUUUAACCUGGAUUUAAGAAUUGAAUGAUAAAAUAUAUGCCACGCCUCCCUCUCACUCCAUUAUUGUCUUAGAGGACAUGGACUAGUCGAGAGACAAUCUACUGAGCAAGAGUUAGUGGUUCCACUGAGGGCAGUAACCAAAGCCAGGUGUUAGGCUGCAUGGUGACUUUUCUUGUUCUGAUAUUUUAUGCCACAUUUAAUCUCAUGACUUUUGCUGUAAGAAUGAGCCAUUCAGCUGAUAAAUAAGAACCAUAAAUCAGCCAAGUGGUCACCAUACCAAUUGCCAAUUAUUCCCACCCUUAAGAAAAUAUGAAGGAUCUUGAAAAUAGCUUAUCCUUGAUUCCCAGGGGUGGGAGAAUUAGGAAAUUAUUUAUGCAACUUCUUUCCUUUUAUUUAUCUACAAUACUAAAAUAAAUACCUUUUAUUUUUUAAAAAUAAACAGUGUGAAUGCUGUUAGUUUUAUCUCUUAACUAAAUAAAAUAUUUGAGAAGAGUCAUGUGUGCAUUUCCCUUAUGAACACUGCACAAUGCCAUGUGUACUGUCAUUGCUCCAUAAAUAGUGAACAAGCCUGUGACCCUCUCAUUGUUUGGCAAGCAAGAGGAGAGACAGAAAAUUCCUUUUGUUUAUAUAGGAAAUUCUUUUCAGUUCACUGAGGAAUGUGUGUGACUUAUUGGAAAUCCCAUCAUUUACAUUGGUGCUUUGAUUCUACUAUUCCAACUAUCAAUGACUAGUCUUCCUAUUAUAUAUUUCUUUUUCUUUUUAGGGCCAUACCUGGGGCAUAUGGAAGUUCCUGGGCUAGGAGUUGAAUUGGAGCUAUAGCCGCCAGCCUACACCACAGCCACAGUAACACCACAUCCACCACAAGCUGCAUCUGCAACCUACACCUCAACUCACAGCAAUGCUGGAUCCUCAAUCCACUGAGCAAGGCCAGGGAUCUAACCCACAACCUCAUGGACACUAUGUUGGGUUCUUAAUUAGCUGAACACAAUGGGAAUUCCUAAAUAUUUUUUUUAAAGAAGCUGUGGAAGUAAUGUUAAGUCAAAACAUGAAGAUGAAGCAUGGAAAUUUGUAGCAAGAUAUCUCUAAUAUUAAACAUGAAUCCAAAUAUCUUCUCUAAUCUAUCAACAACACUUGAGCAAGGUACAUAAGAAACAUAUAUAAAAUUUUCUGCACACACCUCAGAAAGAAAGAGAUCAAUCAUAAGUGUAACAACAAAAAUUAAAUAUCUUGGAAUAGAUUGAAUUAUCAAAACAAUGGAACUUUUUUGAUAAAGACAUAGAUAAACAGAAAUGCUUUGUCCAUCACUAAUCAAAUAUAGACUUUCCAGAGUUUAUUCAUCAUGUCAAAUUAUAAAUUUAUUUAAUCACAAAACAAAAUUUAAGUAUACUAGCAGAAUUCAUAAUUCCUUCUAUAUUAGCAAACUCGUACUGAUUAUACACUUGCGCUACAUAGCAAUAAUUAAGGCACAUGGAGAUCCCUUCCUGGCUCAGUGGUUAACAAGUCCAACUAGGAACCAUGAGGUUGUGGGUUCGAUUCCUGGCCUUGCUCAGUGAGUUAAGGAUCUGGCAUUGCCAUAAGCUGUGGUUUAGGUUGCAGUCAGGGCUCGGAUCCUGUGUUGCUGUGGCUGUAGUGUAGGCCAGCAGCAACAGCUCCUAUUAGACCCCUAGCCUGGAAACUUCCAUAUGCC